CUGAUGAUUGGCGUCACAGAGUUUGUUCCUUAGAAAAACUAAACUUUGCGAAAAGGACAUUUAGGAAAAGUCAUUAUUGUUUUGAAGACGCUCUCAAGGGACCAUUCACCUUCAGCUGGAGCAGGGGCUUUCCUCUCCUGCCUGCUGAGUUUGUGACCUGUCAUCACCAGGUAGCAGGCAUGUGGACCAAGAUGGCAGCCACAGCCCCUGGAACCAUCUCUGCAGCAGCUCUCUCCAACAAGAUGACCUGCCUCAAAGUUUACCUGCGGAAGACCCCUGCCAACUCCCCGCAGACAUCGUCCUUCCUCCUCAGUACCCACGGUGAGGUCAGCUGAAGCUGUCAAUCGUCCAGGAGCAGGAAGUCCUUGUUGUAAGUGUUCUGGAGGCGAGGGGCAUGCUGGAAUCGUGCCAGGGGGCAUGUGACUCUUAUGUUAAGGUUGGCAUGUCCCCAGACAGUGAUCCUACAGACAGACAGAAGACUCAGAUGGUUCCUCACUGUAGAAACCCCAUCUUCUUACAAACCUUUUACUUUGUUGUCAGUGAGAGGGACCUCAAUAAGAGACUGCUCUUCACAAUGUGGAACUCUGACUCCACAACAAGGAUGAGUGCCCUGCUGGGCUGCCUG